rnacentral:rRNA from 1 species
AGCUCCAAUAGCGUAUAUUAAAGUUGUUGCAGUUAAAAGCUCGUAGUUGAAUUUCUGAUCAUUUUUAGUCUUGGCUUCGGUCGGGCUAAGGUUGGUCAUCCGUCUGCAAGGUACUCUCGGCCUUUACUGGUUCGGAAUAUUGAGCUGACAUUUUACUUUGAAAAAUUAGAGUGUUUCAGGCAGGCAUUUGCCCGAAUACAUUAGCAUGGAAUAAUGGAAUUGGACUUAGGUUCAUUUGGUUGGUUAUUGAAUCUGAGUAAUGGUUAAUAGGGACAGUUGGGGGCAUUAGUAUUUAAUUGUCAGAGGUGAAAUUCUUGGAUUUAUUAAAGACUAACUUAUGCGAAAGCAUUUGCCAAGGAUGUUUUCAUUAAAUCA